rnacentral:rRNA from 1 species
GAUGAACGCUGGCGGCGUGCCUAAUACAUGCAAGUCGAACGAAACUUCUUUAUCACCGAGUGCUUGCACUCACCGAUAAAGAGUUGAGUGGCGAACGGGUGAGUAACACGUGGGCAACCUGCCCAAAAGAGGGGGAUAACACUUGGAAACAGGUGCUAAUACCGCAUAACCAUAGUUACCGCAUGGUAACUAUGUAAAAGGUGGCUAUACUACCGCUUUUGGAUGGGCCCGCGGCGCAUUAGCUAGUUGGUAGGGUAAAGGCUUACCAAGGCAAUGAUGCGUAGCCGAAUUGAGAGGUUGAUCGGCCACAUUGGGACUGAGACACGGCCCAAACUCCUACGGGAGGCAGCAGUAGGGAAUCUUCCACAAUGGGCGAAAGCCUGAUGGAGCAACGCCGCGUGGGUGAAGAAGGUCUUCGGAUCGUAAAACCCUGUUGUUAGAGAAGAAAGUGCGUGAGAGUAACUGUUCACGUUUCGACGGUAUCUAACCAGAAAGCCACGGCUAACUACGU